GCCCCGGUAGCUCAGUGGUGGAGCGACAGCCUUGUAAGCUGUAGGUCCCGGGUUCAAUCCCCGGCCGGGGCUCCA
rnacentral:tRNA from 3 species